UGGCGGACGGGUGAGUAACGCGUGGGUAACCUGCCUCAUACAGGGGGAUAACAGUUAGAAAUGACUGCUAAUACCGCAUAAGCGCACGGAAUCGCAUGGUUUUGUGUGAAAAACUUUGGUGGUAUGAGAUGGACCCGCGUCUGAUUAGCUGGUUGGUGAGGUAACGGCCCACCAAGGCGACGAUCAGUAGCCGGCCUGAGAGGGUGAACGGCCACAUUGGGACUGAGACACGGCCCAAACUCCUACGGGAGGCAGCAG
rnacentral:rRNA from 1 species